rnacentral:rRNA from 1 species
UACAGAGGGGGCAAGCGUUGUUCGGAAUUACUGGGCGUAAAGGGCGCGUAGGCGGCCUUCUAAGUCGAACGUGAAAUCCCCGGGCUCAACCCGGGAACUGCGUCCGAUACUGGAAGGCUUGAAUCCGGGAGAGGGAUGCGGAAUUCCAGGUGUGGCGGUGAAAUGCGUAGAUAUCAGGAGGAACACCGAUAGCGAAGGCAGCUCGCUGGGACGGUACUGACGCUGAGGCGCGAAAGCGUGGGGAGCGAACAGG